CAAACUCUUCUCCUUGCCAUGCCAAUCUGAGUAGCUAAAUUCUUCCAGGUGGUAAUGAUCAUUUCAGCAGUUGCACUGAACCUGCAGCACCUGUACAUCUUCUCUGGGCAAAGCAGAAGUAGUUUCAGUUGCCGGGAACUUGGAUGAAUUUGACAUUCUUUCUCCUCAUGAACGUGUAGGGUGCAAAAGCAAUGUUGCUGCAGCACUUUGAUUUCAGAAUUGGGAGGCUGUGUUGCAUUUACAGACUUGUAUGAGGAAAAUAAUAUUUUAUGUUGUAAAGGCCUUUGGUUCCUGCUGUUCACAGAAAACUGCAGAUGGCUGCCUCAGCAGGAAGCCCUUCCCCCUUCCUUAAUGGAACUCGUGGGAAUGCGGGGAUCCUGGAACCGAAGCCCUCCUUCCCUUCCAAACCUCCUCUCCAAACCCCUACUGAGUAAAAGGAAAAAAAUCCCCACAUCCCUGGAAACAUUUUUGCCAGCCUGUUUUUCAGUAAAAACUUAAAUUAACCACUUCACUCCUGAUUAU